ensembl:lncRNA
CUGAAUACAUGCAUAUAUCUGUUUUACUUUCCAAAGUAAAGAUCCCACCAAAAGAGUCAGUUAUGCAAGAGAUGUAUUAAAUGCUGUAGCAAGAUAUUCUUGCAAAAUAUUUAAUUCCAUUUACCAGGAUUCCUGGUGUUAGAGGCUAGUACUUGGGAAUACAGUGUUCAACAAGAUUGUGAGUCACUGGAGCUUGUGUAACAAGUUCUUCGCAUAGAACCAUAAAACCUGGUCUAUUGUUUAAAUGCAAGAUAAAGAAAAGAAGAAUUGAGUUCAGCAUUAUGGAAGUACAUAUAUGUUUAGAGAUGAGAAAGAAUCACUCAUAUCCAAGGUUCCUUUUAUUUUGAGAUUUGUAAGACUAAACACUUUUUCACUUGGUUUUGGUUAUUUUUGUAUGGCAGGGCCUGCAAAAAUCCUAUGAUGCAGUGGGCUCAUGGGUGCAGAUGGCAGGGAGGGCUCUCCGUUAUAUCUGCAUUCCUUUCUGGUUGCUCCAUUCAUUGCGAAUCCAUAGGCCAACUCCAGAACCAGUGGGGCUUUCGCAUAUAGUUAUACCUUCAAGCUGCCUACAACAGUUCCCCAUGUCACCUUUAUCUCAGCUUGGUGUUCCUUCUAUUGCAUCAUGCUGAAAAGGGAGACAGAAUGAACAUUAUGUGUUUAUUCUGAGCACUGCUUGGAAUAGCAUCAUUGGAAUUACACAAGGGAAAGAAGGAAUAAGGUCUGCAUCAGUGGCAAAAACCAACAGAAUGGAUGUCUAGAUCUACUCCUAAGGAAGGAAAGCUUCUCUUUCUGAAGGUGCUGGCCUGUAGACCAAUCUCAAAACGUAUGUACUAAAGGAGCAGGAGUUGAAUAAGACCAUGGCUGAAUCUGUGAAGGAGACAAAAACUAACUAGAAACAUGAGCAAACUCCUUUUGGGAACAAUGUCCUGAAAUUUUAACUUGUACAGAUCCAAAAAUAGACUUUCCAUCUUGAUGCCAACCAGGAAACAAACUCCUGUUUCUGCUGCUGUUCAGGAGACUGCCUACUAUCACACUUGGACAUCACAUGUUGAUUCAGAAAGUCAUGUGCUUGAGCAAAGAUCAGUGGUGGUUUGUGAUAUCUGCUGAAACAUCUCUGGAAAUCAGUUAUUGAUUAAAUUUUCAUUAUCACUCAUAACAGAUUACUGUGCUAAGGGCACUUUCGGGCACACUCGGUGCAAUUUGCCCAGGGAUAUGCCUAAGUUUGGUCAGUGCCUGAAGAUUAAACCCUCAAUGACACGGCCUGUCAGCCACAGGCAACUCUCCAAAAUCCCCAACGAUGAACCGCUGGUCAUCAGCCACUCCCAUGACUGUGACUCCACAGACAGAAACUCAGUGCUUCAUCAGCCUCCCGAGGCCCUUGCUCACCCAUACACACCCUCCGACGUCUGAGCAUGAGGAUGCGUUCUAACAAGUCCUCCAACGCCCAAAGGAGAAAUGGGAUCAAACACAACAAAAAUAGAUGGGAAGAAGCUGCUCUAAGUGUUCCUUGAUUUAAAACCUGAUGUUGGCACUUGGCUUGGACUUCAUGGGAGGAACACUGCGAGGCUGUGGGAUGUAGCAUUGGUGGCAUAGGGCAGGAUGAUUUUCUUGCUGAUUUAGCGUCUGGGUGGACAGGGAGGCAGCUGACAGCACAGCCAUGGGCCUGCUAUGUGACACUGGAAUAUCUGAUCAGGUGGAAAAAUUAACAGUUCUAGGAAAUGUUCCGUCUUAGUAGGAGUGUUAGUGUCACAGGUCCAGCCAAAUUCCCAUACAGAUAUAUUUAUAAUCUGCCAGCCAAAUGUUGCCUUAGAAACUAAGGAGUAAAACAACGUGCAACAUUUCCCACAGGAGAAAAUUAAUCUGAAAACAUGGAGAUUUACCUCUGCAUGAAAUAACCUAACCUUGGAGAACUUUCCACUGAGGGAACCACAUUUUAUUUCGCAUUGCCUGAAGAUGAGAAAACAUAAUGAGAUCUGCUCACUGAAAGUCUAUAGGAGGGACAAGUGAGAACACAUUUUAAAGGUGGCAGGAGAGUCCUCCUCCUGUUCAUUGGUUUGCUUUAAUUGCUGUCCUCACUGUGAGCCAUCAGAGGAACCCAUACCAUGAACUGAAGCCACAUUUUGCGUCUGUGGGUAGCUGUUUCUUCAGUUGUUUGCAUAAACAAAAGCCUUUGUCCAACUCCUGUAGUUGGUCCAUCUGUCUAGAUGUUGCUCUUGUUGCUACUACAUAUCUUACUGUUCCCUGGAGUCUUUAGAUUGUAUAUUUAGACAAAUUAUCCUCCAGACAAAAUCACUUUAGGCCUGGAAUCUACAUUUCAGCAUACUUCUUGUGAGUGGACAUGAAGCAUGGUUUUGAAUGGCAAGCUGUCCCCAUUUUAUUUUGCUUUGCUGAGUAUGACAGAGGAGGAAGGCUGAGAGACCCAGGACUGUUCAGACUGAAGAAGACUAAGAAGGGAUCUCAUCAUGCUUAUAAAUAUCUAAUGGAUGGGAGUAAAGUGGAUGGGGCCAAGUUCUUUUCAGUGGUGCCCAGAAACAAGACAAGGGGCAAUGGGCACAAACUGGAACACAAGAAGUUCCAUCUGAAUAUGAGGAAAAACCUCUUUACUUUGAGGAUUCCAGAGCACUGGAACAGGCUGCCCAGAGAGGUUAUGCAAUCUCCUUCUCUGAUGACGUUCAACUCUGGCCUGGACACUUUUCAGUCUAACUGCUCUAGGGAAUCUGCUUUUGCAGGAGAUUGGACUAGAAGGUUUCCAGAGGUCCCUUCCAGUCCUUACAAUUCUGUC